AAGACCUUGCACUUUUGGAGCGGCCGAUGUCUGAUUAGCUAGUUGGUGGGGUAAAGGCCUACCAAAGCUUCGAUCAGUAGCUGGUCUGAGAGGACGGCCAGCCACACUGGGACUGAGACACGGCCCAGACUCCUACGGGAGGCAGCAGUGGGGAAUUUUGGACAAUGGGGGCAACCCUGAUCCAGCCAUGCCGCGUGAGUGAAGAAGGCCUUCGGGUUGUAAAGCUCUUUCAGCCGGGAAGAAAAGGUUGCGAUUAAUNUGACGGUACCGGAAGAAGAAGCACCGGCUAACUACGUGCCAGCAGCCGCGGUAAUACGUAGGGUGCAAGCGUUAAUCGGAAUUACUGGGCGUAAAGCGUGCGCAGGCGGUUUUGUAAGUCAGAUGUGAAAUCCCCGGGCUCAACCUGGGAACU
rnacentral:rRNA from 1 species